UGGGGAAUAUUGCACAAUGGGCGGAAGCCUGAUGCAGCGACGCCGCGUGGGGGAUGAAGGCCUUCGGGUUGUAAACUCCUUUCGACAGGGACGAAGCUUUUGUGACGGUACCUGUAUAAGAAGCACCGGCUAACUACGUGCCAGCAGCCGCGGUAAUACGUAGGGUGCGAGCGUUGUCCGGAAUUACUGGGCGUAAAGAGCUCGUAGGUGGUUUGUCGCGUCGUCUGUGAAAUUCCGGGGCUUAACUCCGGGCGUGCAGGCGAUACGGGCUGACUUGAGUGCUGUAGGGGAGACUGGAAUUCCUGGUGUAGCGGUGAAAUGCGCAGAUAUCAGGAGGAACACCGAUGGCGAAGGCAGGUCGCUGGGCAGUAACUGACGCUGAGGAGCGAAAGCAUGGGUAGCGAACAGG
rnacentral:rRNA from 1 species